AUGGUGAGAAGGGGUGGGUGCCCCAGGCCUACGUGGAGGAAAUCAGCAGCCUCAGUGCCCGUCUCCGAAACCUCCGGGAGAACAAGCGGAUCACGAGUGCCACCAGCAAACUGGGGGAGCCACCUGUGUGAUGGAUGGCCUAGCCUACGUGGAGGAAAUCAGCAGCCUCAGUGCCCGUCUCCGAAACCUCCGGGAGAACAAGCGGAUCACGAGUGCCACCAGUGGGGGAGCCGAGCCACCUGUGUGAUGGGCAGCAUGGCCUGGGACACCAGCUCCACGGCUCCCGGACAGGUCUGGAGGGGACCUGCCGUGUCUCCAUCUCCCAAGCUGCUGCUGCUGGCACUUCUGUUCUGGCACCAAGGGUACAGGCUGGACACCUUGACGACACCUCCAAAGAGUCUCCCCUGUCCUCGUGCUCCUCAGUGUCCACAGCUCAGGGCCAAAGGUAAUUUCUUCCUCUGGCUUGGAGGCCACAACCUGUGACCUCUGGUAUCUGACAAGGAUGGGGGCCUCUGCCUUUCAUGCCCUCGACCCUGCCUGACUCUUGGUCCCUCUGGCAGGGAUCUGGCUGGCAAUGGCUCUGGUGCUGAUGGGUGCUGGGACCUCUUUGUGUAUAUAGUUCUGGAGUCUUCCAGCCUGAGCCUGUAUGGGCCCUAGUUGCUGUGACUUGUCUGUAAAUAAACUCCCAUAAUGCCCUUGCUUGGACUCUGUGAGCUGUUUGAUGCUGCCUCCACCCCAGCCCCACCCCCAGCUAAAGACCAAGAGGGUCUCUUUCUUCCAUUGGGGACUUGCCCUUCUGUUUACCUCUUAACUGGAGGAGGGUGUGAGUGGGGCUGUACAUCAGAUAGACUGUUUUUGGAAGCAAUUAACAAAAUAUCAGACUCAAACAGACUUAAAUAUUUAAGAAUUUAGGAGUUCCUGCUGUGGCAUAGUGGGUUAAGCAUCCAGUGUUGCUGCAGCUGUGGUAUAGGUCAUAGCUACCACUUGGAUUUGAUCCCUGGCCUGAGAACUUCCGUAUGCUGCAGAUGCAGAAAAAAAAAAAAAAAAAUUAAAGAAUUUACUAGUUCUUGGAUUUGUUUCUUAGAGCUUCAUUAACAAAUUAUCACAAAGUAGGCCAUUUAAAGCAACUGAAAUUUAUUCUAUCACAGUUCUGGAGAACAGAAGUCUAAAAUUGCUCCCAUGCUCAAUUUUUGCUGCGCCCUUCCUGGCCUCUUUUAGCAUCUGAUGGCUGCCAGCAUUCCGUGGCUUGUGGCUGCAUCACUAAUCUCUUUCUCCAUGGACACCUUGCCUUCUUUGUGUGUCUGCCCAAUCUCCCUCUGCCCACCUCUUAAAAGGAUACAUGUGGUUGCAUUUGAGGCCCACCCAGAUUAUCUCCCCAUCCCAUAAUCCUUAAUUUAAAUCCUAUCUGCAGAGAACCCUCACUUUGCCCAGGACAAUAUUUAUAGGUUCCAGGGAUUCGAAUGUGGAUAUCUUUCACAGGGGCAUUUCUCAGCCAAUUGAGAAGUGUAGGGACAGAUUGGGCUUCAGGCAAGGCUUGAUCCAGUGGUUCAUUGAUAUCGCUGACAAUCCAGCUUUUUCCAUUUCUCUAUUAUUAUGUUGCUCUUGGUAUUGGCUUCAUUUUAAGGCUUCUAAGGGCUUCUUCAUUCAUUCCACAUUGGUAGAAGAGAAUUGUCUUUGCCCUAGCAUUUGCCGUCAAAGACAAAAUGAUGCUUUAGACCAGCUGCUUGGGUCUCAUGGCUACCUCUGGGCUGAUCACAGUGGCCACAGGAUGGUGUGUGUUAAUAGACCUAGCGUAAGUCAUGUGCUUCAUCUCCGGAACCAGAUUAUCUUCUCUGGAACCCCACAGAUCCCCAAGUGAAGUCUGGUGGCCGCUGCAAAGGAGGGGCAGAUGCCAGGGAGGCCAAUGUUCACUGACAUCCAAGUCAGCCAAGAGAGUGGAAAGACCUGGAAAUAGUGAGCUUGGAGAUGUGAGCACACUUGAUGGGAUAGGAGCAUCCUUCAUCUCUCAAAAGGAGGUCAAAGAAAACAAAUGAGUUGGGAUGGUCCUGGAGGGCAAACAUUGACAAAUGGGGAGAUGCUCAGAGCCAUGAAGACGGCUUUGGGGAUGACUUUCUAAUGGGAGAUGGUGCAAGGAGGGAGGAGUGCAUGGGCUAAGGAGACAGACAUACUUGAAUUUGAAUUCUGUCCCAUACAUUUAUACCCCAUGUGAUUUUUUUUAAAAAACAAAGCUUUUAGGAGUUCCCAUCAUGGCUCAGUGGUUAACAAAUCCAACUAGGAACCAUGAGGUUGCAGGUUUGAUCCCUGGCCUUGCUCAGUGGGUUAAGGGUCCGGCAUUGCCAUGAGCUGUGGUGUAGGUUGCAGACACGGCUCGGAUCCCGAGUUGCUGUGGCUGUGGUGUAGGCCGGCAGCUACAGCUCCAAUUAGAUCCCUAGCCUGGGAACCUCCAUAUGUCGCAGGAGUGGCCCUAGAAAAGGCAAAAAGACUAAAAUAAACUAAAAUAAAAAAAAGCCUUUAGGGAGUUCCCUUGUGGUGCAGUGGGUUAAGGAUCCAGUGCUAUCACUGCAGAGGCUUCUCAUGUCACUGCUGUGACAUGAGUUUUAUCCCUGGCCCACAAACUUCCGCAUGCCUUCAGGUGCGGCCAACAAAACAAAACAAAGCAAAAAAAUGGAGUUCCCAUUGUGGCACAGUGGAAACCAAUCUGACUAGUGUCCAUGAAAAUGCAGGUUUGAUCCCUGGCCUCGAUAAGUGGGCCGGGGAUCUGGCGUUGCUGUGAGUUAUGGUGGAAGUCGCAGAUGCGGCUUGGAUCUGGCGUUGCUGUGGCUGUGGUGUAGGCCAGCAGCGGUGGAUCUGAUUUGACCCCUACCCUGGAACUUCCAUAUGCCAUGGGUGUGGCCCUAAAAAGACAAAAACAAAACAAAACAAAAUAAAAAAACUAAGAAACCCCCAUUGGCACGUGACUAUUAACAGAUCUCCAGAUUGCAAUCAGAUUUCACCAGGUUUUCCACUCGUGUCCUUUUCUCGUGCCACGGUCCAACCCAGAAUUCCGCAUGGCACGGAGCCCGCAGUUCUCUGCAUACUGCUCUGAUCUGCCACAGUCUCUGAGCCUUUCCCUGUUUUUCACGCCCUGAAAACUGGUCAGUUCUGGUCAGCACUUUGCUGGACUGUUGCUUCCUGUGGGUGCGUGUGAUGUUUUGCUCAUGAUAGGGCAGGAGUGGCGGGUUUGGGGGGAGAAGACCGCGGAGGUGGAGGGCUCUUCUUGUCACGUCAUCUCAGGAUGCACGUGAUGCCCAUGUGACUUAUGACUGGUUGUGUCAACCUUGAUGACAUGGUUAAGCUGGUGUCUGCCAGGCUUUUCCACCGCGAAGCUACUAUUUUCUCCUUUCCAUCCUCUGUUAUUUGAAGCAAGUGGAGCCCACACUCAGUUGGGGGAUGGCAGGCCACACUUCCUGGGAGCGAGAGCUACAUAUAUUAUUUUGACUUCUUCUGUAAGGAAGAUCUUUCCUUCCCCAUUUAUUAAUCAAUCAUUUAUUUCUAUCAGCACGGGUGCAUGGCGUUAUCUAUCUUAUCCUUUGAAUUAUAAAUAAAAUCAAAGUUAUUUAUUUUAUUGUUCAAGUUGUUCCUGCUUUGACCAUUGAGAAUUCUCUUUCUUUCUUUCUUUCUUUUUUUUGCUUUAUAGGGCCGCACUUGCGGUAUAGGGAGGUUCCAGGGCUAGGGGUCGAAUGGGAACUGCAGCUGCCAGCUUACGCCACAGCCACAGCCAUGCCAGAUCUGAGCAGCAGCCUACACCACAGCUCAUGGCAACGCUGGAUCCUUAACCCACCGAGCAGGGCCAGGGGUCGAACCUGAAUCCUCGUGGAUACUAGUCUGGUUCAUUACCACUGAGCCACAAUGGGAACUUUUGUUUUGAUUUUUUUUAGCAUUUCUUUACUUUCUGGCACAACAGGAUGCUCCAGGCUUAACUUGUAUUUUUCCCUUUCUCAGUAAAAGAAUCAGCCGUUUCUCUAAGGAGCAUGGUUUCUAUUAUUGGAGAGUGAUAUUUAAAACGAAGAUCUGGGCGCUAAAUGUGUUCAUUGCUAUUGAGGUGUCACUGUUUUGAGGCCCUCCCAUUGGACAGGAGUAGGGAAAAAAGAAUAUGUGUGCGUGUGUAAUAUAUAUAUAUAAUGUGAUUUUUAGAUAAGAUGCUUAAUGACCAUAAACCUCAGGAGGAUGGGGGAUGGUGACAAUAGUACCUGUUUCAUGGAGCCACUGUGAAGUAAAUUCUAUAAGAUCAAUGGAGUGCCUGGUCCAUAAGAAGUUGCAGGAAAUGGUGGCUUUUGUUGGGUCAGAGCUGCAGAGCCAGAGCCUGGGGGCCCUUGUGAGGUGGUGAGGCUUCUGUGUCUUGAGGAUUUAAGGAACUCAGAAAAUCCAGCUCCAGGAUUCCUGCACUGAGAAAAGACUAAACAGCCUCUCUGCUUCUUCCAGUGCUGAAUCUGCACAGAGAGAGCCAAAGUUGGCACCAGGCUGGCAAAGCAGAGGAAGCAAGCUCCCCUCAUUCAACCUGCCCUGGCACAUCUGGUUUCUGGCUGACACCCAAGUCUGGGCUGGGCUGCUGGGGGUUGGGCUG
ensembl:lncRNA